AUGUUCAUAUAUUGCUCGAGCUUUUUGAGUUCUUUUCUCCUUCAUGAUGGAAAGCUAUAUAGGAGUUUCCCCUGCCUAGUACCUAUUACAAAAGCUGCCACCAGUGACAUGGAGAAUAGUGUUAGCUGUACUUUGUCAAACUACAGCAGAGCAUCCUGGAACAUCGUGUAUGGACCAUAUUUGUCUAAGAUUUUAUCUAGAGAAUUUUUUAUGAAAAACAUUUAA
rnacentral:lncRNA from 1 species